AUAUAUAUAAUUUAGCAUUGUGAUUAUAGUUAUAUAACUAUUGUAAUUCGUGACUUAUCCAAAUUGUCUGUAAAAUGAUGUUUGUUUCUGUAGAUUUGAGGGAAAGAUUAAAAACAAGGAGGUCUGGGAAUGACUGAAGGGAUCUGACAGCAGUGAGGGAAGGAAGUUAUCACCAGAAUCCUUGGUGAGUAGAAGAGACUUCUCUUGAAAACCAUAAAGAAAAGAUUCCAGGAUGAAGAGGAGGAGGAAGAACACGUUUAACAAUUUUCUAUAAGCUUGCCAUUAGUUAUAAUAAAAACAAUGAACAUGACUACAAUAAUAUGCUAAAUGUUAUUAAAAGAUUCCAGUUUGCAAGAAGUCUGAGUGUCUGACUCUACACUAGAGGAACUCUUUUCUGAAGAAGAUCAGGUGCUGAGAAGAAGCCUUGUUCUACAGCAAAACACUGCAUCAAACCUCCUGUCCUUCCCUCAGAAGAGCCUGUCUUCUGCUGCUGGGGUAAGAAACACCCUCUUCCUCUUCUCUAUCAGCUGUCCUGCACCUAACUCUGCCUCCUCAGCACUGUCUGAAAGAGUCAUCUCCACAGUCAGUAAUCACAGAUUCUUCUGAGAAAGUCGAUAUGUUCAUUUUCUUAAAAAACUUUGUUUUUUCGGGUGGGACAAAUAAUACAGGAGAGAUGCUAGAAAUCUCUAUAUUGUUCAUUUUUCAUAUCUUUACGCUUUAUGAAUGUUUUUCUUCUGAGAAGCUCAAAAAUUAUGGUUCUUUGGUAAUUGCUUUAUUGUUUAGGUUUAUCCUCUGAUAGUGAGCACAGAGCCCUGAUCAUGACAUGCAAGAAAAAGAAAGAAAUCAUGUCCAUGAUUUACUAAUUCAUUCCCUCUAUGUACUAAAACGUGCACGAUUACUUUUACAUUUCAUUGAUUUGCUAAAUCGUAUGCACAAUUUACUAAUUCGUUCUCUUGAUGUAUAAAUAGUGUACACGUUUUAGCAAAUCGAGGGAAUGAAAUAUAAAAUCGUGCGCAUGAAUUAGCCUAAAUUUUUUCCUGCAUGUCGUGUAAUUAAAGCACAUCACCACCAGACAUUUAUACCAGGAGCCUCAUAUACGACGCUCACAGUUUUACUUUGUGCAGUAUCUCUGUGCAGUAUCUGCUGAAUUGUUUCAUAUCUAUUUAUCAUGUAUUUUUCGUUGCACUAAAUUAUGUUGUAUCAAUAAGUUUACUGAUAAUUAUUUUUAAUUUUCACUAAUAACGUCAUUAACCAUCUCCCCAUCUUUAAGACAAAAAUUCUCUAUUGUUUAUAUUGUGUAAUCUAUGAAUUGAUGUGUUUAGUUUUCUGUGCUCAUAACUUAGUAACAUUUUGCAUGGUUAAAGAACAGGUGCGAUGUUCAAAAUGUUUUUAUACAAAGUAGUGCUGAAUAAAUAUUGAUUUGUGAAUGAA